rnacentral:rRNA from 1 species
AUUGAACGCUGGCGAAAUGCUUUACACAUGCAAGUCGAACGGCAGCACGGACUUCGGUCUGGUGGCGAGUGGCGAACGGGUGAGUAAUGUAUCGGAACGUGCCCAGUCGUGGGGGAUAACGUAGUGAAAAUUACGCUAAUACCGCAUACGAUCUAUGGAUGAAAGCGGGGGAUCGCAAGACCUCGCGCGAUUGGAGCGGCCGAUACCAGAUUAGGUAGUUGGUGGGGUAAAGGCCCACCAAGCCAACGACCUGUAGCUGGUUUGAGAGGACUACCAGCCACACUGGAACUGAGACACGGUCCAGACUCCUACGGGAGGCAGCAGUGGGGAAUUUUGGACACUGGGCGAAAGCCUGAUCCAGCCAUUCCGCGUGCAGGAUGAAGGCCCUCGGGUUGUAAACUGCUUUUGUACAGAACGAAAAGGUUUCUACUAAUACUAGGAGCUCAUGACGGUACUGUAAGAAUAAGCACCGGCUAACUACGUGCCAGCCGCCGCCGUAA